UGAGGCAACAAGAAAAGCAGUUACGGCGCGUUCAGCAGCUGCACGAUCAGGUAGAAGAGCAUGAGGCAGCCACCUGGACUUUGGCCACAGACCUGCAACGACUGCGUGAGGAACGCGAUGAAGUGGUCUCUGAGCUUCUCAGUGCAAAAAACAACCUGAAGCAAGUGGUGCUUGAGCGUGAUAUGUUGCAAAGGAAGCUAGUUGAAUUCGAGCUGUCACAGCAACUCCUCGCCGAGUCACAAGAUGCUGAUUAUCCAGGCACUCCACCAAGGCCCCUCAUUGUCAACAAAAGCAGAGAGGCUCUUGACAAAGGCUUGCAGAAUGGGCAGAACGCAGUGUCCCCGAAGUAAGCCCAGAUGGCAUCCCUAACAGUUCUAGAUGCUUUUCAUGGGGCUGAAGAAUUCCCAGCUUCCAGUGCGUGAAUCUUCGUGAAAUAACUUUCAAAAACAAUCUCCGCCUCAGUAAAACCUCAGCUAGUUGCUGCUACCAAAGAAAUAAAUGUGAAUUGUCGAAA
rnacentral:lncRNA from 1 species